AGAACGAACGCUGGCGGCAUGCCUAAUACAUGCAAGUCGAACGAGAUCUUCGGAUCUAGUGGCGCACGGGUGCGUAACGCGUGGGAAUCUACCCUUGGGUUCGGAAUAACAGUUGGAAACGACUGCUAAUACCGGAUGAUGACGAAAGUCCAAAGAUUUAUCGCCCAAGGAUGAGCCCGCGUAGGAUUAGCUAGUUGGUGAGGUAAAGGCUCACCAAGGCUACGAUCCUUAGCUGGUCUGAGAGGAUGAUCAGCCACACUGGGACUGAGACACGGCCCAGACUCCUACGGGAGGCAGCAGUAGGGAUA
rnacentral:rRNA from 1 species